rnacentral:misc_RNA from 1 species
GAAAUGCGAUAAGUAGUGUGAAUUGCAGAUGUAACGUGAAUCAUCGAAUCUUUGAACGCAAAUUGCACUCCCUGGUAUUCCGGGGAGUAUGCCUGUUUGAGUGUCAUGGAAUUCUCAACUCUAUUUGCUUUUGUGAAUAGAGCUUGGAUUUGGAGGUUUAUUGCUGGUACUUGUGAUCGGCUCCUCUUGAAUGCAUUAGCUCGAACCUUUGCGGAUCAGCUAUCGGUGUGAUAAUUGUCUACGCCGUUGCAGUGAAGCAUAUCAAUGGGCUCGGCUUCCAAUCGUCCUUUACUGGACAAUGACUUUGACCUUUGACCUCAAAUCAGGUAGGAUUACCCGCUGAACUUAAGC